ACAAAUGCUAAUGACCAACUAAUAUACAGUGAGGGAAACAACAACUAGAACUAGUUGCUAAUAUCCUGUAAGCUAAGGAGAAAAAGAAGAAAUUCGACCGAGGAGGGUUUACGUCUGAUUAGCUAGUUAUUGAGGCAAUAGUUUAUCAAGACAAUGAUCAAUAGCUGGUCCGAGAGGAUGAUUAGCCAUAUUAGAACUGAGACAAGGCUCGGACUCCUAUAGGAG
rnacentral:ncRNA from 1 species